AAAACGGCCCUUUUCAGGGCCACCAAUGAUCUCUUCGAAAAGAGC
rfam:Anopheles darlingi Cont6786, whole genome shotgun sequence.